UUCUGUUCCCCUUCCCUCUCCUCGAAACAUCUCCUCCUUCUUCUUCUUCUUCUUCUCUUUCCUUUGUUUUCUCUCCAAACCAGCCACAGCCACAGCCACAACCAGUCGGACUACCGCUGGAGCGCCAUUUCCAACAUGCGCCGAAGCUACAACUUCUCUGAUUGGCGACGACAACAACCCAAAGUUUGGUAACCAUUGGAGCAAGGACGCACCCGUACAGCCACUUCGAUGUUUUGUCGUUGAAACUUUGAGGUGACUUUCCGGCGAACUCUGACCACCGUUCGACGAGUGGGUGGCACCAUUGGAAUCAGCGUCGCGAGAGGAACGUCGCCCACUAAGUCAUUCCGGUCAACUCGCCGUUUUUCUCCCGCGAGAUUUUGGGUAUCUUCCCCCCUUUUGAAGCAUUUUUCGAUGACAUCGGAGGUCAUUUGGGAAAUGAGCUGUACUUCCGUGAUGUCCUCAUCGAGGGGAUCGUUUUGAUAUAUGCCAUGCAUAUAUUCAUUGACGUUUCUGGUACACUGCUACUGUACACCGCUUGGGUGAGGUUCUAGAACUUAAAAAUUUUAAAUAUGGUAAUAUUAUAUGUCACAGGACAUGAUUUUGAAUAAGGAAUGCAAUAAUAAUCAUUUGCUCAUUUGAUGCACGGAGGAAAAAAUUGAUAUAUAAAUCGAUAAUCGUUAAGCUUGGGAGUGUCCCUUUGAGCUUGGAUUGAAAAUUCUAAAGAGGUAGGGAAUCAACUUGACUAUUGGACUUAUUUUACUCGUAUUAAAUUGCAUUAAACAUAUUCCAAUUUCGAUAUUUAUAAAAUAUUUGAAAAAUUGAAAACUUAACCUGUAUGUUUUCUGAUCUGUUCUGAGGGCACUGAGUGCCAAAUAUAUUUUUGUUCACUUAUUUAUGUAGGUUAUGAUUUUUGGAUUUUAUUCAAAUGCAGCUGUUAUGCUGCCCAAUUUUCUAAAAUAUAAAAGGAAUAUGUUUCUUUCUUUUCAUGUUUACCUGCAUUUGGUUAUACCGAUGAGAGCCAUAGUGGUCAUGAUUUAUGCAUAUUGUUGUUUCACGACCUAGUCUCUGUGUCAUCAUAGGUAUAUCAUGGGUCUACUCACCUGUAGGUGCAAAGACCUAACAUCUGUAUACAGGAAGUUUUCUGAGCCUCCCCUUGUGGUGGUUAUCAGGUCUGGCUACCCGGUUUAGGAUGUCGGUUUUUCUAUGGAUCCUAGUGAUGCAAUUGUGGAUAAGGUGAAUUAUUGAUGAAGGCAAUGUGUUUAGUGCCAUAGACCUAUCUUUUGAACAUUAUAUGUAUUUAAUUUGGAACGUAUCAGUCUGUAUAUCUAAUUUAGCUAUGUAAUAGUUAUAAAUGAGGAAUGGUGGAUGCUAAGUAUUAUUUUGGGUGUUUUAUGACUUACUAAAUCUAACUGUUUGGUAACUACAUAA